rnacentral:rRNA from 1 species
AUUGAACGCUGGCGGCAGGCCUAACACAUGCAAGUCGAGCGGGGUUUUCGGACCUAGCGGCGGACGGGUGAGUAAUGCGUAGGAAGCUACCCGAUAGAAGGGGAUACCAGUUGGAAACGACUGUUAAUACCGCAUAAUGUCUACGGACCAAAGUGUGGGACCUUCGGGCCACAUGCUAUCGGAUGCGCCUACGUGGGAUUAGCUAGUUGGUGAGGUAAUGGCUCACCAAGGCGACGAUCCCUAGCUGGUUUGAGAGGAUGAUCAGCCACACUGGAACUGAGACACGGUCCAGACUCCUACGGGAGGCAGCAGUGGGGAAUAUUGGACAAUGGGCGCAAGCCUGAUCCAACCAUGCCGCGUGUGUGAAGAAAGCCUUCGGGUUGUAAAGCACUUUCAGUAGGGAGGAAGGGUUAAGUGUUAAUAGUACUUAACUUUGACGUUACCUACAGAAGAAGCACCGGCUAACUCUGUGCCAGCCGCCGCAGUAAGAC